rnacentral:rRNA from 1 species
UACGGAAGGCAGCAGUGGGGAAUAUUGCACAAUGGGCGCAAGCCUGAUGCAGCCAUGCCGCGUGUAUGAAGAAGGCCUUCGGGUUGUAAAGUACUUUCAGUCGUGAGGAAGGUGUUAAGGUUAAUAACCUUAGCAAUUGACGUUAGCGACAGAAGAAGCACCGGCUAACUCCGUGCCAGCAGCCGCGGUAAUACGGAGGGUGCGAGCGUUAAUCGGAAUUACUGGGCGUAAAGGGCACGCAGGCGGUUAAUUAAGUUGGAUGUGAAAUCCCCGGGCUUAACCUGGGAAUGGCAUUCAAGACUGGUUAGCUAGAGUCUUGUAGAGGGGGUUAGAAUUCCAUGUGUAGCGGUGAAAUGCGUGGAGAUGUGGAGGAAUACCGGUGGCGAAGGCGGCCCCUGGGACAAAGACUGACGCUCAUGUGCGAAAGCGUGGGGAGCAAACAGGGAUUAGAUACC